rnacentral:lncRNA from 1 species
GUUGACUGGAUUAGGAGUUAAACCCCUAAACCUUAUAGUUUUAGGCACAAAAUGAGAACAUUAUUGAGGAAUUCACUUGCUUUAUGUUAUAAUAAUCACCCCUUGACCAAGAUUCUACCUAUUUUUUUCAUGUCAUAAGCGAUUAAAAUGCCUCAAACCCUCGCAAGUAAAAACGCAAUUCACAAGGUUGCCUUCAUUUUCUUGACAUGCUCUAAGCAAAACAUUGAGACCUA